rnacentral:rRNA from 1 species
UACGAAGGGGGCGAGCGUUGUUCGGAAUCACUGGGCGUAAAGGGCGCGUAGGCGGCCCUUCUUGUCGCGUGUGAAAGCCCCGGGCUCAACCUGGGAAUGGCGCGCGAGACGGGGGGGCUGGAGUUCGGGAGAGGAGCGUGGAAUUCCCAGUGUAGAGGUGAAAUUCGUAGAUAUCAGGAGGAAUACCGAUGGCGGAGGCAGGUCUCUGGGCUGACACUGACGCUCAUGCACGAAAGCGUGGGGAGCAAACAGG